CUUCUCUCAGGAAAUGAUUGCGUCAGGUGCCACUGCAUCAGAAGGGGAAAAUCCGCCUCGAGAUGCACGUACUGUUUCAUUUCAUCCGGAGUCGACCUUUCAUGAGCAGCACAAUGCCGCAUCGCAGCGAGUCUUUCACACAAGUGAGCCAGGCUGGGAAUCCCGAGAAAGCAACUCGGGAUAUGCAGCUCAGGACGGCGGGGACACUGCCAACGAGGGUAUCCGAAGAAGCUACUUCAAGCGCCUUUACAGAUUUUACAGGAAGUACAAUCCUCAAAACUGUGCAAUGUAGAGAAGCUGCUACGCGAGUGUCGAGGUGAGGAAGAGCAGCUUUUUGCAAUCUUGGUGGGAAAAUAUGGUCCGGAGCCGGAGGAAGAGAGUUCCAUGUUGAGUGGUGAUUCAGUGUUCUCCAGCGCGGGUGAUUCUGUUAUGCACUACUCGGGAAAGCGAUGCCAGUUUCCCAAAAAAGUGAAGCCAGAGGAGGGAAACACCGACUGUGAAACACCGUACUGGGCAGGAGCUUCCUCGCUGAUAGGUGACCGUGAUUUGCUUGGCCUUUUGCAGAAUUUGGAGACCCCGAACGUUGAGCUGCAGAGGUGCUACAUGGGUGUUUUUGCGGAGCAUCCGACGGACUGCUGGAACGGAAUGGCAUACAUUACACGAGCGGAGGGUAUCGCUCCCGCUAAUACGAAGUUUCUCGGACAUACUUGGGUCGGAACGCUUGGCAGCGGUAAAGUCCUCGUUCACGAGGGCAAAAAGUUUCACCGCACGACACUUUACUGUACUGAGGAGUGUCAGAAGACGGGCAAUCAUGAACGAUGGAGGCUCUCCGUCUACCGCGGCGAACUGAAUUACUUGAUUCUUCUGCGCACGGUGUGGGACCCGGUGGUUAUCCCUGAACCCUUGCCCUUGAACCGAUCAAAUUUGUCAGAGCGCGAAGUGCACUCCUCUUUGGACGGAUUUCCCACGCGGCUUUCUAGUAUGAGCUCGGCCGAUUCCGGGGGCAGCGGCAGUCGACAGCCGAUUCAGCCGCCGCAACCACAGCAGCAUUCCGUGACUCCUGCCCUUGUUCACUUUACAAAACUUCUUGAGGAGUUAGAAUCACGUAUUAUAGAGCGCCUCGAAGGUCUGGAAAGACGAAUGUCUCGCCUAGAAAGUAUGUGAAAGUGGUGAUCUACUGCUCAGCUGCUGUUAUCUCCGUUUUUUCUUUCUGUGUAGAGAGACUCAACGAUAAUUCUUAUUCACCUUUGUUGUUCAUCUCUCUCCUUGCCUUGUGCUCGUCAUGGAGCCGGAAAAAAAAAAACAUACUCUAAAUGUCAUGCACUUCUCUUUGUUUCUCAGGUGUGAGAUUUUUCUUCAUCUCAUCUGCUUGACUGGGGGUUGUUGUAGGGCCGCAAGUAGCUCUUCCUGAGUUUUGCAAGGUGCUCAUCGUACCAAAAAAAAAACACGGUGCGCUCCGACUCGGUUUCUGAAGCCGCUAAUCAUAUUACUUCAUCCUAUGCAUCAUUAUCUUCCUUGGCCAAUAUUCAUACGUUCUAG
rnacentral:misc_RNA from 1 species